rnacentral:rRNA from 1 species
GACGAACGCUGGCGGCGUGCCUAAUACAUGCAAGUAGAACGCUGAAGAGAGGAGCUUGCUCUUCUUGGAUGAGUUGCGAACGGGUGAGUAACGCGUAGGUAACCUGCCUUGUAGCGGGGGAUAACUAUUGGAAACGAUAGCUAAUACCGCAUAACAAUGGAUGACACAUGUCAUUUAUUUGAAAGGGGCAAUUGCUCCACUACAAGAUGGACCUGCGUUGUAUUAGCUAGUAGGUGAGGUAACGGCUCACCUAGGCGACGAUACAUAGCCGACCUGAGAGGGUGAUCGGCCACACUGGGACUGAGACACGGCCCAGACUCCUACGGGAGGCAGCAGUAGGGAAUCUUCGGCAAUGGGGGCAACCCUGACCGAGCAACGCCGCGUGAGUGAAGAAGGUUUUCGGAUCGUAAAGCUCUGUUGUAAGUCAGGAACGAGUGUGAGAGUGGAAAGUUCACACUGUGACGGUAGCUUACCAGAAAGGGACGGCUAACUACGU